AAGCCUUCUUGAAGCUCCCCAAGGCAGAGUCAGCAUCCAGUGUCCUGGGGAUCUCUGGGGUGCAGCUCCCUCUCCCCUGUAGGGAAGAGAUGAAGAGAUCUAAAUUCAGAGACAUCAAGGAUCUGGUCUAAGGUCAUAUGGCUCAGAAGAAGCAAGGAUGAAAACCCAGUCAUAGAAUAUGGAGUACUCACCCCGUGGUACAACUGGUCCAGGACUGAUCAAUCUUCAUGUGAGAGUUUCCACCCCGGCAGCGCAGACCGAAGAAAAAACAAUGAAUUCACAGUCAGAAGGCUUGGGCUCAAAUCCAGCUUCGCCAGUUGCUAACAGAAUGA